AGGCGGUCUACUCAUGCAGUUGAGCGCUGAACGUUGGUACUUGCUCCGACUGGAUGAGCAGCGAACGGGUGAGUAACGCGUGGGGAAUCUGCCUUUGAACGGGGGACAACAUUGGGAAACGAAUGCUAAUACCGCAAAAGAACUUUGAACACAAGUGGGGACCUUGAAAGAUGCUAUUGCAUCACUCAAAGAUGAUCCCGCGUUGUAUUAGCUAGGUGGUGAGGCAAGGCUCACCAAGGCGAUGAUACAUAUGCGACCUGACAGGGUGAUCGGCCACAUUGGGACUGACACACGGCCCACACUCCUACGGGAGGCAGAAUAUUGGAAUCUUCGGCAAUGGACGAAAGUCUGACCGAGCAACGCCGCGUGAGGGAAUAAGGUUUUCGGAUCCUAAAACUCUGUUGGUAGAGAAUAACGUUGGUGACAGUGGAAAGCUCAUCAACUGACGGAAACUACCCCGAAAGGGACGGCUAACUACGUGCCAGCAGCCGCGGUAAUACGUACGUCCCUAGCGUUGACCGGAUUUAUUGGGCGUAAAGCGAGCGCAGGUGGUUUAUUAAUUCUGGUGUAAAAGGCAACCUGCUCAACCAUUGUAUGCAUUGGAAACUGGUAGACUUGAGUGCAGGAGAGGAGAGUGGAAUUCCAUGUGUAGCGGUGAAAUGCGUAGAUAUAUGGAGGAACACCGGUGGCGAACCCGGCUCUCUGACUCUGUAACUGACACUGAGGCUCGAAAGAGUGRGGAGCAAACAUGAUUAGAUACCCUGCUACUCCACGCCGGACACGAUGAGUGCUAGAUGCAUGAAGCUAUAAGUUCUCUGUAUCGCAGCUAACGCAAUAAGCACUCCGACUGGGGAGUACGACCGCAAGGUCUGAUACUCUGACGAAUUGACGGGGGGACCGCACAAGCGUGGGAGCAUGUGCUUUAACUACGAAGCAAACGCGUAACAUCCUCACCGACGUCCUUGACAUACUUCGUGCUAUUCCCUAGUAGAUGACGUAACGUGCCMUUCGGACACAGGAUACACGUGGCUGCAUGCUUGCUCGUCAUCUCGAGAUCGUGAGAUGAUGGCCUAAGUCCCGCAACGACCCUCAUCCCUCUAAUGCUAGCUGUCAUGCACUUAGAAUCUGGCACGUCUACUGGCCGACCUGCCCGGACGUG
rnacentral:rRNA from 1 species